rnacentral:rRNA from 1 species
GAUGAACGCUAGCGGCAGGCCUAAUACAUGCAAGUCGAACGGGACUUAGUAGCAAUACUAAGUUCAGUGGCGCACGGGUGCGUAACGCGUAUGCAACCUACCUUAAACUGGGGGAUAGCCUUCCGAAAGGGAGAUUAAUACCGCAUAAUAUCACUUGAUGGCAUCUGAAGGUGAUUAAAGAUUUAUUGGUUUAAGAUGGGCAUGCGUGCCAUUAGCUAGUUGGUAGUGUAACGGACUACCAAGGCGACGAUGGCUAGGGGUUCUGAGAGGAUGAUCCCCCACACUGGUACUGAGAUACGGACCAGACUCCUACGGGAGGCAGCAGUAGGGAAUAUCGGGCAAUGGACGGAAGUCUGACCCAGCCAUGCCGCGUGCAGGAAGAAGGCCUUCUGGGUUGUAAACUGCUUUUAUCUAGGAAGAAAACACCCAUGCGUGGGAAACUGACGGUACUAGAUGAAUAAGCACCGGCUAACUCCGUGCCAGCAGCCGCGGUAAUACGGAGGGUGCAAGCGUUGUCCGGAUUUAUUGGGUUUAAAGGGUGCGUAGGCGGCCCGUUAAGUCAGUGGUGAAAGCCUCCAGCUCAACUGGAGAACUGCCAUUGAUACUGGCGGGCUCGAGUACAGACGAGGUUGGCGGAAUUG